CAUGUGUCACAUUUCCCCCAGCAAUGAGAUUAUCCCUGUGCUGCUUGAAUAUAUGAGAAGACCAAACUAGACUCACUUUUUCAGAAAAAAAGAGCAGCAUGGAACCUCUCCAGGUUCCAUUUGUUUUUUUGUCUCUGUCCCCAAAGAUCUUGCACAUUUAAUAUGCAGUGGAAUCUUAGAUCUCCUCUGAGAAGACCAUGAGAUGUGGGAAGCAGAUUGUCAGGUAAUCAAGAAAAAUGUCAUCUAUUGUCUUCUUAGGCAUUUCGUGAUAUGACUGGAAGCUAGAAAUGAAGAGUUCUAAUUCAUAUGGAGUUCUGUCCAUCCACUGUGAGCUGCAUAUUUAAAAUAAAGUUUGGAGGAAUUGA